rnacentral:rRNA from 1 species
CACUCCUGCGGGAGGCAGCAGUGGGGAAUAUUGCACAAUGGGCGCAAGCCUGAUGCAGCCAUGCCGCGUGUAUGAAGAAGGCCUUCGGGUUGUAAAGUACUUUCAGCGGGGAGGAAGGCGAUAAGGUUAAUAACCUUGUUGAUUGACGUUACCCGCAGCAGAAGCACCGGCUAACUCCGUGCCAGCAGCCGCGGUAAUACGGAGGGUGCAAGCGUUAAUCGGAAUUACUGGGCGUAACGCGCACGCAGGCGGUCUGUCAAGUCGGAUGUGAAAUCCCCGGGCUCAACCUGGGAACUGCAUUCGAAACUGGCAGGCUAGAGUCUUGUAGAGGGGGGUAGAAUUCCAGGUGUAGCGGUGAAAUGCGUAGAGAUCUGGAGGAAUACCGGUGGCGAAGGCGGCCCCCUGGACAAAGACUGACGCUCAGGUGCGAAAGCGUGGGGAGCAAACAGGAUUAGAUACCCCUGUAGUCCCAUG